rnacentral:rRNA from 1 species
AUUGAACGCUGGCGGCAGGCCUAACACAUGCAAGUCGAACGGAGAGGCGGAAGGGUGAGUAAUGCCUAGGAAUCUGCCUGGUGGUGGGGGACAACGUCCGGAAACGGGCGCUAAUACCGCAUACUAUCAGAUUAGUCUAGGCUGGAUUAGCUAGUUGGUGGGGUAAAGGCCUACCAAGGUGACGAUCCGUAACUGGUCUGAGAGGAUGAUCAGUCACACUGGAACUGAGACACGGUCCAGACUCCUACGGGAGGCAGCAGUGGGGAAUAUUGGACAAUGGGCGAAAGCCUGAUCCAGCCAUGCCGCGUGUGUGAAGAAGGUCUUCGGAUUGUAAAGCACUUUAAGUUGGGAGGCGUUACCAACAGAAUAAGCACCGGCUAACUUCGUGCCAGCAGCCGCGGUAAUAC